AUGCACCCUUCUCAAUCUGCCCUUCCUGAAUCUUCUCUUUGCGCUCUCAAUUUAUAUCUCACGCACCAGCUACACCAAGAUUUCUUGCCCCAGCCUGUGAAGACCUCCUUCAAGACUCUACCUCAAUAUCCCUUCCUCUCUGAGAGGCUCCCUCAUCCUAUUUCCUUCAGGCAAGAAUUUGGAACUGAUUUCAUGCAGCCCACCGGGCAGACUUUUACACUGUGCUGGAAAUUGGAAGUCGCUGCUUUUCAGCAAAGCAUUGCGCAAAGUCAGGCCUGAUCAACUUGUGUAAAAGGUGAGGCAAAGAGAGCAUAGAUUUUAAGGGCAUGGAUCACAGACCUGGG
rnacentral:lncRNA from 1 species